rnacentral:snoRNA from 1 species
AUCCUUUUGUGGUUCAUAAGGGUGGUGACUGGGUUUUCAGAACACUGUGUGAGAUAUGCCUCCCUCAAACAUUAUCCACACAUUACCCAUCUGAUG